rnacentral:rRNA from 1 species
UACGUAGGGGGCAAGCGUUGUCCGGAAUUAUUGGGCGUAAAGAGCGCGUAGGCGGUCCGAUAAGUCGGCUGUGAAAGUCAGGGGCUCAACCCUUGAAAGCCGGCCGAUACUGUCGGACUAGAGUCCGGAAGAGGCGAGUGGAAUUCCCGGUGUAGCGGUGAAAUGCGCAGAUAUCGGGAGGAACACCUGUGGCGAAAGCGGCUCACUGGACCACAACUGACGCUGAGGCGCGAAAGCUAGGGGAGCAAACAGGG